AAUAUUGGACAAUGGGCGAAAGCCUGAUCCAGCCAUGCCGCGUGUGUGAAGAAGGUCUUCGGAUUGUAAAGCACCUUAAGUUGGGAGGAAGGGCAGUAAGCUGAUACCUUGCUGGUUUGACGUUACCGACAGAAUAAGCACCGGCUAAAUUCGUGCCAGUAGCCGCGGUAAUACGAAGGGUGCAAGCGUUAAUCGGAAUUACUGGGCGUAAAGCGCUCGUUGUUGUUUUUAUAAAUUGGAUGUGAAAACCCCGGGCUCAACCUGGUGACUGCUUUUAAAACUGGCAAUCUAAAGUAUGGCAGAGGGUUGUGGAAUUUCCUGUGUAUCGGUGAAAUGGGUAAAUAUAGGAAGGAACAUCAGUGGCGAAAGCGACCACCUGGGCUAAUACUGACACUGAGGUGCGAAAGCGUGGGGAGCAAACAGG
rnacentral:rRNA from 1 species